AAUACGUUCCCGGGCCUUGUACACACCGCCCGUCACGUCACGAAAGUCGGUAACACCCGAAGCCGGUGGCCUAACCCUUGGGAGGGAGCCGUCGAAGGUGGGAACCAGCGAUUGGGACG
rnacentral:rRNA from 1 species